rnacentral:rRNA from 1 species
CGAACGGGUGAGUAACACGUGGGCGACCUGCCCUCAGCUCUGGGAUAAGCCUGGGAAACUGGGUCUAAUACCGGAUAUGACCACAUGUCGCAUGGUGUGUGGUGGAAAGUUUUUUCGGCUGGGGAUGGGCCCGCGGCCUAUCAGCUUGUUGGUGGGGUGAUGGCCUACCAAGGCGACGACGGGUAACCGGCCUGAGAGGGCGACCGGUCACACUGGGACUGAGACACGGCCCAG